rnacentral:lncRNA from 1 species
CACAACAUUAUUCAUCAGCAUGCAUUAAAUAUGUCAAUAAAACUACAUAUAUAUCCUAAGAACACCCCCAAGAACAAGAACAAUAACAACAUUUUUCUUGUCUUUUAUUAAAAUCGAAGAAGAAGAAGAAGAAGAAGAAAUGCAACCGCAGGCAGCACCAGCCUAUCAAGGCAUGUCUUACUCCGAUCAUGUCCAAAAACGUCGUCAAGAAAAAGGAUGCUUCUAUGCCUGGUUUGUGUGUGUUUUUUUUUUUUUUUUUUUUUUUUUUUUUUUGCGCGCUGAAUUGAAUUGAAUAAAAAGAAAUACGUGAAUUACGGCCAACCCCUGAGGAAAGGUUAAAUUACGAAAAAACCCUUAAUGUUUGGGUAAUUACAACCACCUCCCUCAACUAUGAAUCUUUUUGCACGUUCACCCUUGCGGUGUCAAAUUUAGUAGAAUCUUCUAGAUUAUGUGGAAUAUUCUCUAGUUUACCCCAUUCGAGCUCCAUAUUUUCAAACAAGAUGAUCGUAAGAUGUGUCUCUUGGCUUGCAAAUAUCAGAUUUUGGUGCAUCAGAAACUGAAUUUUUGCACAAAUCGAGUACAACCUAGAGAACAUUCCAUGGAAUCUAGAAGAUUCUGUUCAAUUUUGACACCAUAACAAUGGACUUGUGAAAAGAUUCAUAGUUGAGGAAUCGUUGUAAUUAUCCAAACAUAAGGGGGUUUUUCGUAAAUUUACCUAACGAAAUAUAACAGGGCAUGUUUGUUUUGUGGUACAGCUUCUUUACAUUGUGUUGCUGUUGGUGUUGUGGAGAGACUUGUGAGUGCUGUUUGGACGCCAUUUGCUGUUGCUGCAUAUAAGCAAAAAUUAAAAAAAUUAAUAAAUAAUAUUUUAUUGUCAAAACUUCUUAUUUUCUAUGUACGAGUUUA